CAGCAGCCGCGGGAAUACGUAGGUGGCAAGCGUUGUCCGGAAUUAUUGGGCGUAAAGGGCUCGCAGGCGGUUUCUUAAGUCUGAUGUGAAAGCCCCCGGCUCAACCGGGGAGGGUUAUUGGAAACUGGGAAACUUGAGUGCAGAAGAGGAGAGUGGAAUUCCACGUGUAGCGGUGAAAUGCGUAGAGAUGUGGAGGAACACCAGUGGCGAAGGCGACUCUCUGGUCUGUAACUGACGCUGAGGAGCGAAAGCGUGGGGAGCGAACAGGAUUAGAUACCCCUGUAGUCCCUGUCUCUUAUAC
rnacentral:rRNA from 1 species